rnacentral:rRNA from 1 species
GUUAAAAAGCUCGUAGUUGGAUUUCUGGGAGGGUGCUAAUGUCCGCCGUAGCGCGUGUGCAGCCGCGCCCUUCCAUCCUUCUGUUAACGCCUCUUGGCAUUUGUUUGCUGGUGGCGGGCUCAGAUAUUUUACCUUGAGAAAAUUAGAGUGUUUCAGGCAGGCUAGGCCGGAAUAUAUUAGCAUGGAAUAAUGGAAUAGGACUAUGGUCUCUUUGUUGGUUUGAGGGACUGCAGUAAUGAUUAAUAGGGAUAGUUGGGGGCAUUAGUAUUUAAUUGUCAGAGGUGGAAUUCUCAGAUUUGUUAAAGACUAACUUAUGCGAAAGCAUUUGCCAAGGAUGUUUUCAUUAAUCAAGAACGAAAGUUAGGGGAUCAAAGACGAUCAGAUACCGU